rnacentral:miRNA from 1 species
CAGGAAGCCCAGUUCAAUUUAGAUUUCACAUAAACAGGUAUGAGGUGUAGUAUCAGUAUAUCCUGCGCAAUAUUUGGGACAUACUUAUACUAAAAAAAAUUUUCUUGUUCAUCUGAAAUUCAGAUGUUACCAGGCAUCCUAUA